rnacentral:tRNA from 1 species
CAAGAUAAAGCUAAAGUUUAGCGUUUCACUUACGUUGAAAAGGUUGUCGUUAUUCGACUUGUUUUGA